CUAAUCAUGUUUACAUAUUUUACUUCCUAAAGUCUUGGACAAGGCAUUAUCAUCCUUGCUGUGCAUUUGUAAAGGACAAAUGUUAGGUAGGAACCACAUUUGAGUUCACAUCAAAAUGGAUCAGAUCCUUCUGUUUCAAUUGGUCAAUACCCAAUAACGUCAAAUCUAUGAAGCAGACCAAGGUUAAACCUAAUGCUAAGAUAAAAUAAGAAAAUACCUGACAAAACAAGAUUUCAUAGCCUUAAAAGCCCCUUUAAAACAAAAUGGAUGCCCUAACGGUCUAAUACAACGGUCCUUCAAUACCACUUAGCUUCUAAGUCUUAGUCUGUUUUAGCACAUAGCAACACCUAGGACUGCAUUUCAGUGUGAUACAAAUGAUCUGGUCUCUGCCUAAAGAGAGAUCUAAAGAAGAGAGGAGAUCAGUCAGGAAGUGGCUAGUUCCUGUGUGCCCUAUUUAUAAGCCAAGUGAACGGGGCUGCUUUCAAGAGCACAGGGGCUAGGUGAGAGUAGAUACAACAUAACAUUACUGGGGCUAGGUGAGAGUAGAUACAACAUAACAUUACUGGGGCUAGGUGAGACUAGAUACAACACAACAUUACUGGGGCUAGGUGAGAGUAGAUACAACACAACAUUACUGGGGCUAGGUGAGAGUAGAUACAACAUAACAUUACUGGGGCUAGGUGAGAGUAGAUACAACACAACAUUACUGGGGCUAGGUGAGGGUAGAUACAACA